AGAAGAAAUCAAGAACAUCUGGAAAUCCAAUCCUUUAGCGUUGGUUUUGUUUUUUUUACUUCAUUUGUAAGCACUAUUGAUUAAAUUAUUGGCUAUUGGUGGUCAACUCCACAGUGAGUCCCUGUCGAGUUGGGGGGUAGAGCUGAAAAGCCUCUCAUUACACCCUGGUGUUUCUGGUGGCCAGAUCACAUCAUGAGGCUACAAUGUCAGCCAUGUUCAGCAACUGUGCUAAUAUACAGGAGAUACUUACAGGCUCCAGAGAGUCCAAAGCUUUAGGACAUGUAUAUUAGGAAGCCAGGAGAAAAGACCAAUGUGUAUCUUACAAAGAUCAUCUAGGGACAUUUAAUUUGGUUGUGAAAAUGAUCUGGCUCUUUAAAGGGGCCUAGCCCUUCUUAGAGGAACAACUAUGGCAAGCUCCUGAAAACUUGCAGAGAGAGCUCCCCUGAGUUUUCAGGUGAAAUGGAGUGGUAUAUGCCUAAGUUAUGGGGCCAUGAUUAUGCUGUGAUCUGAAUUAUGCUCAUUCAUCAGUGUGAGUCAGAGUGUUUUACUGUUGGAAGAGGUUGAUGAGAUCAUCAUUUUUAGUGUGCCCAUUUUGCAAGUGAGACAAUGGAAGUUUCAGAGAGCUGGCUUCCCUUCCGCUACUAUUAAAGACUAACUGGGAGAUGCCUAAUCUCCUGCCAGUGUUCUUUCUCCAGUACAUACCAGCAUUCUGAAAUUAUGGCCUCUCUCUAUGGUGCGAUGUAACUAAUGAAUCUCUAUACGGGGCAUUUCCUUAGAAGAUAUUUAGUGAUUCCCCAUGGACUGAUGCUCGGGUAAGACAGCUGGGAAAGGGAUCUACCACUGGGAAUCUUCAUCACAAUGGCAUUCACUCCACAUGUAAUCCCACUCAACAGCUGCAUCUGGGCUGCAGUAAGUCAUUCUUUCAUAGGGGAGUGGGGCUCAAUUUUUGUUCAAUAUUUGGUUAUAUAGUCAUUUUGCAGAUCCAGUCCAAAUUUCUCUGUGUAAUCAGAAGUGCUGGGGCGUGACUCAGGGGUAGAGCAACUGCCUAGCAAAUCCAGGGCCUUCUUAAGCAUGUCCACUUGAUUCUGCAGUCUAUUUACCCAUUUUUUUGGCUUAAGCCCCAUUCUGCCUAGUACG